GAGUUUGAUCCUGGCUCAGGAUGAACGCUGGCGGCGUGCCUAAUACAUGCAAGUCGAACGCUGGAAAUCUAGCUUGCUAGAUUGAAGGAGUGGCGAACGGGUGAGUAAUACAUAAGCAACCUACCCACGAAGACUGGGAUAAUCUCUGGAAACGGGGACUAAUACCGGAUAGGUAAUCGGAAGGCAUCUUCUGAUUAUUAAAGGUUAAAAACACUGGUGGAUGGGCUUAUGGCGCAUUAGUUAGUUGGUGAGGUAACGGCCCACCAAGACGAUGAUGCGUAGCCGGCCUGAGAGGGUGAACGGCCACAUUGGGACUGAGACACGGCCCAGACUCCUACGGGAGGCAGCAGUAGGGAAUUUUCGGCAAUGGGGGAAACCCUGACCGAGCAACGCCGCGUGAGUGAUGACGGCCUUCGGGUUGUAAAGCUCUGUUGUAAGGGAAGAACGGUAGAUAGAGAAUAUCUAAGUGACGGUACCUUACCAGAAAGCCACGGCUAACUACGUGCCAGCAGCCGCGGUAAUACGUAGGUGGCGAGCGUUAUCCGGAAUUAUUGGGCGUAAAGGGUGCGUAGGCGGCCUGUUAAGUAAGUGGUUAAAUUGUUGGGCUCAACCCAAUCCAGCCACUUAAACUGGCAGGCUAGAGUAUUGGAGAGGCAAGUGGAAUUCCAUGUGUAGCGGUAAAAUGCGUAGAUAUAUGGAGGAACACCAGUGGCGAAGGCGGCUUGCUAGCCAAAGACUGACGCUCAUGCACGAAAGCGUGGGGAGCAAAUAGGAUUAGAUACCCUAGUAGUCCACGCCGUAAACGAUGAAUACUAAGUAUUGGGGAAACUCAGUGCUGCAGCUAACGCAAUAAGUAUUCCGCCUGUGGAGUAUGCACGCAAGUGUGAAACAUAAAGGAAUUGACGGGGGCCCGCACAAGCGGUGGAGUAUGUGGUUUAAUUCGAC
rnacentral:rRNA from 1 species